rnacentral:rRNA from 1 species
UUCCAGACUCCUACGGGAGGCAGCAGUGGGGAAUAUUGGGCAAUGGACGCAAGUCUGACCCAGCAACGCCGCGUGAAGGAAGAAGGCUUUCGGGUUGUAAACUUCUUUUAAGGGGGAAGAGCAGAAGACGGUACCCCUUGAAUAAGCCACAGCUAACUACGUGCCAGCAGCCGCGGUAAUACGUAGGUGGCAAGCGUUAUCCGGAUUUAUUGGGUGUAAAGGGCGUGUAGGCGGGAAUGCAAGUCAGAUGUGAAAACUAUGGGCUCAACCCAUAGCCUGCAUUUGAAACUGUAUUUCUUGAGUGCUGGAGAGGCAAUCGGAAUUCCGUGUGUAGCGGUGAAAUGCGUAGAUAUACGGAGGAACACCAGUGGCGAAGGCGGAUUGCUGGACAGUAACUGACGCUGAGGCGCGAAAGCGUGGGGAGCAAACAGGAUUAGAUACCCGAGUA